CCUACGGGAGGCAGCAGUGAGGAAUAUUGGUCAAUGGCCGCAAGGCUGAACCAGCCAAGUCGCGUGAGGGAUGACGGCCCUACGGAUUGUAAACCUCUUUUGUCAGGGAGCAAAGGGCGCCACGUGUGGCGCUUUGCGAGUACCCGAAGAAAAAGCAUCGGCUAACUCCGUGCCAGCAGCCGCGGUAAUACGGAGGAUGCGAGCGUUAUCCGGAUUUAUUGGGUUUAAAGGGUGCGCAGGCGGAUUUUCAAGUCAGCGGUAAAAUUUCGGGGCUCAACCCCGUAGUGCCGUUGAAACUGGUGUUCUUGAGUGCGCGAGAGGUAUGCGGAAUGCGUGGUGUAGCGGUGAAAUGCAUAGAUAUCACGAAGAACUCCGAUGGCGAAGGCAGCAGACCGGCGCGCAACUGACGCUCAUGCACGAAAGCGUGGGUAUCGAACAGGAUUAGAUACCCGUGUAGUC
rnacentral:rRNA from 1 species